rnacentral:rRNA from 1 species
UACGUAGGGGGCAAGCGUUGUCCGGAAUUAUUGGGCGUAAAGAGCGUGUAGGCGCCAGACAGGUCCGUUGUGAAAACUAGAGGCUUAACCUCUAGACGUCGAUGGAAACCGUCUGGCUAGAGUCCGGAAGAGGAGAAUGGAAUUCCUGGUGGUAGCGGUGAAAUGCGCAGAUAUCAGGAAGAACACCCGUGGCUAAGGCGGUUCUCUAGUACGGUACUGACGCUGAGACGCGAAAGCGUGGGAGCGAACAGG